AUGACCAUUGGUGACCACAUUGACACUGGCAGUGAUAAAGCUUUGGGAUUGCUGCUGCUCUUGGGAAGAGAAGAGAGAGAUAAAUGUACAGAGAGAGGAAUGAAGGAGAUCUAUUCUUCCAGCGAUGGAGGGGAAAUCUGCACAAAUCUUUCCUUGUUAGAGGGAGAGGGACAGAAAGAAAGAGAUGGAUCAGAGCUGAGCUCUCUCAGGAGGACAAGCAGCUUUCUCUUCCAGAUCCUGACUACACCUAGACAGCCACAGUCUUUCCUCAAGCGUCCUGACAUGGCAAAGACAACUGCAAAUAAACAACACAAUUCUGCACACUGACUGAGUAAUGGAUGAAACUUGAAAGAAAAUGAAGCAGCGGGAGAGAUGAUUAGUGAAAAGAAUGCGGAAAAAGAAAGGUUUUAUAGAUUUACACCAUGGAUAAACAGAUGUACCAAGACCAAUUUUAUAGCAAACUGAAAUAGCUUUCUGCAUUGCAAUUAGCUCUCCCUGUAGUUCACCAGUGUUAAUGAACAAAAGCCAGAUAUCUGCUUUUGUGAACCUGAGAGAGACCCAGGGGACUCGCUGACACAGAGGUGAGAAUAUAACAUCGGUGGGCUCCUCACUGUACUCGUAGAACAGGGGGUAAAGACACAUGCAUAUGCUGGAACACGGGGUGGGGGUGGGGGGGACAAAAAGACCACCGCAGGGGAAUUAACCUGUGCGCUCUACGAGGUGACGAUGCCUGCCUCUUGUUUCAGAGAAGAAUAUAUUAACAGGUAGAGAAGAGCUGAGGAGUAAUAUUUGAAUAGAUUAGCAGAUGAGAUGCUCGGAAAUAAACCGAACAUCUGUGUGAGAGUGAACUCUUUUGUCUCCUGGCUAAAGAAGGUGUCUCAUCAAAGUUGGCUUGCUCCACAGGAUUUGGGUGUGUGAAAUAGGGCGUGAGAGUUUGCUGUUAUAUUAUGGUGAUUUUAAGACUUUAUAUUUCUUUUCCAUUAGAUUAUGCAAAAGUGUUUUAAAAUUUAAAUUUUAUUGAUGUUUAAAUAUGAAUAAUGUGUCACAUUGUUAUUGUUUUGGUAACAUCUGUGGAUAGGAAUAGAGAUUUAUGUGUGGGUGUUAUUAGUUAGUUGUACUUUAUAUAAAAAGUCCCCAGAAGUUGGCUAAAUAAAACAAAAGCUUUUUUUAUAAUAUAAAUAUGCUUGUAAAUAAAUAAAAAAUAUU
ensembl:lncRNA